UGAGGAAUAUUGGUCAAUGGACGAGAGUCUGAACCAGCCAAGUAGCGUGAAGGAUGACUGCCCUAUGGGUUGUAAACUUCUUUUAUAUGGGAAUAAAGUUCAGUAUGUAUACUGUUUUGUAUGUACCAUAUGAAUAAGGAUCGGCUAACUCCGUGCCAGCAGCCGCGGUAAUACGGAGGAUCCGAGCGUUAUCCGGAUUUAUUGGGUUUAAAGGGAGCGUAGGUGGAUUGUUAAGUCAGUUGUGAAAGUUUGCGGCUCAACCGUAAAAUUGCAGUUGAAACUGGCAGUCUUGAGUACAGUAGAGGUGGGCGGAAUUCGUGGUGUAGCGGUGAAAUGCUUAGAUAUCACGAAGAACUCCGAUUGCGAAGGCAGCUCACUGGACUGCAACUGACACUGAGGCUCGAAAGUGUGGGUAUCAAACAGG
rnacentral:rRNA from 1 species